ACCAAUCACGUCACGAUUCGGUACGACGAAUCUCUCUCUGCCGUGAAGAAGACCCUCGAAGGAAAACCAGAUUCGGCCAAGGGUUAAAGUCGGUGCUGAUCUCUUAGUCUUCAAUAAGUGCUAAAAGCUGCCGAUGAGUAUAGUAGGAGCUUAACAUCACAAUACUAGGCAGCUUUGAGAGGCUUAUGAGAAUGUUGGAAACCACAGGAAAGAGAGUAUCCAGAUUGAAGCUUUUAGUCAGUAGACACAGAGAAAGACGAAGAAUACUUUUAUGCUGAUGGGAACUUUGUAGAAUAUGUUAGAGACAAGGAAGUCAAGGUUCGAAAUACUCAUCUCUCACAGUACAACUUAUACCUGACGUGCUUUUUAGGUUGUCUUACAAGGUUUGUUUUGUUUUUAGGAUGCAUGUCCUGAAAGUAUUGACAUUAAUCCAAUGUAACUAGCCAUAGGAUGAACUUUCUCAAGAAGAUAUUGGAGUCAUAAAGAUGCGUAUUUCUUAACCUGUAGAAAAGGCAAGUCAUUUAGGGCCGUAACAAGUAAUUGUUUUAGAAUAUGAAACACUGAUUGGAUUAGUUGGAAAUAUUAUUUUCAGAUUAGCAUUGUCAUACAUCACACACUUAGUCUACCUCGGGUUCAUUAUUACAGGUUUUUUUAGCUUUAAGGAGAUUGAAAGGGAACUGGAAUAGGAUAAGAUGACAUUUGAGACACAGCUUAUCAUUAGUUUUGCUAAUUCCAGAAUGGUGACUUCAGUUAAGUCUCAUAUUGAUUUUGCUAUAUCAAAAGCUUUGCUAAAAUGAAAAUGGUGUCCAGUUAACAUUAGUUUUCUUUGCAUGUAUUCAAGAUAUUUAUCAUGAGGAACAAUAAGUUUUCCAGCGUGAAGCUGGUUAGAGCUUUCUUUCUUUUCUUUUUUCUGAGCAACAGCUGGUUAGAGAUUUCUAAAUCUCAUGAUAUUUCUUUACUCACAAUAUAAGGGAACAAUGGGCUUUGCUUCACCUUUUCUUCUCUAUUGUGGUUUGCAUAGAUAAAUAUGCAGAGACGGCGGUGACGAAAAUACUAAUCGAGCUGAAGCCUUGCAAUCUGAUUAUGUAUUUGACUAAACUUCAGGGUACGUUUAUAUAUACCUUUAUCUCUAUCUCUAUUGCAUUGGACUACAAUAAACGAGGUCAACUUUUUCCACUUGAAUAAACUUCAGUAACUCUUUAUAGGGUUGAGGUUAUGAGGCAGGUUCAUCUCAGGCUUAACAGGUGCAUUGAAUCAAUAAACUGUUAUAGAGACCCGAUAGUCUCCCAUAGUAAUAUCAUCACGCCUGCGGUAUAAAGGGUUCUAAAAGACAAAAAGAAUCUCUAGAUUUCCAAAAUACAUUGGAACCAGAUACCUUUUUUCCUUAUAUGUGGGUGUUAAUAUGUAACAAACUGAUGAUCACAAGCAUUAUAUAAUAUAGGAGUGGAAGAUGGAGAAGAAGUCUUCAGAUAAGUUCAAUCCGGAUAUUGGUGGAGAGAGCCCAAGAGUAGGAGGCGAGAUAAACGACGAGGAAGCCCCUUUGAUUACGUCCCGUUUAUCUCAUAUUGGUCGGACGCAGCUCGGAAAUCACGCCGCUUAAGAUGCCUGGUAAAAACGCAUGAUAGAAGGUUUUGCUUCCAAAUUCGUUGUUUUUUCUUUGCUACGUAAAAAGAAUCUUUGAAACCAAAAGAGAGGUGCAGCAGCAUCCGAGACCGUGUGUCCUCUCGUGUCUCAGGUGAAGAAUGUUGUACUUGGCUUCAAAAUUUGCAACUUUAUUAAGAAAUAUAUAGCUGAGCAAAAUAGUAGUAUGAUCGAUGAUUAGCUUAAAAAACGUUAAAAAGUCACAUAUUCGUUUAUAAUGAAUUGACAUUAGAGUUA